GACGAACGCUGGCGGCGUGCCUAAUACAUGCAAGUCGAGCGAUGAAGCUUGGUGCUUGCACCAAUUUGGAGAGCAGCGAACGGGUGAGUAACGCGUGUGGCCUCUGCCUUUGAGCGGGGGACAACAUUGGGAAACGAAUGCUAAUACCGCAUAACAACUUUAAACAUAAGGUUUAGUGUGAAAGAUGCAAUUUCGUCACUCUAGGCUGGUCCCGCGUUUUAUUAGCUAGUUGGUGGGGUAAAGGCGCACCAAGGCGAUGGUGGGUAGCCGACCUGGGAGGGGGACCGGCCCCAUUGGGACUGGGGUACGGCCCAGACGGCUACGUGAGGCAGCAGUGGGGAAUAUUGCACACCGGGCCGAAGCCUGAUACAGCGUCUCCGCGUGCGGGAUGACUGCUUGCGGGUUGAAAACCGCUUUGGCCUGUGACGAAGCGUGAGUGACGGUAAUGGGCAAAGAAGCACCGGCUAACUACGUG
rnacentral:rRNA from 1 species